CAAUAUUACAAUGAACGAGAUGCUGCAUCCUGGCCCACACCCCAGAGUAGGAGGGGUAGUGACUCACUGUGACUAGUAUUAGAAAGAAGACAUGUCCCACUUCCAGGGUUAGAUCAUGGCAACUUCAAGUACAACUGAACUUAAAACCUCUAUGAGUCCAUUUACUGUUUCCAUGGCAGUGCAGAAUUUGUGAAUGUUUGCAGUGUCUUUCACAUUCAUUUCCAGCACGUGAACUGACUGAUUCCUUGUUUCUCAAUUACAACCAUCUUGGAAUCAAGAUUAAUAACUUGCUUGGAAAACAACAUCAUAGCAAUCAGAGGCUUGA
rnacentral:lncRNA from 1 species